GGCCUCCCAAUGCUUACCACAAGCUGUGUUCUUUACACUGACUAUAUAGAAAGAGGUACCUCUUUCUAAAUGCACCCCAUAUUAUACCUCAGCCCAGGCCUUUAGCCUGUUCUGUAUUGUGAAUGGGGGGGACAAAA